rnacentral:lncRNA from 1 species
AGCAGAUGUGUGGGCUGUGAGGAAGCCUAACGGUCAUCUGUGCGCGCGGCUGCGGCUCGCCUGCCGGUCAGCGCUCCUCACAACGGGGCUGUGGGAAAAAGUAGAAUUAAAGGUGUUUUUCUCUCUCAAAUGUUUGUGAGUGAUCCUCGUCCCAGGAGUUGAGCUUUCCUUGUGACAAACACGAGCCAGUGCAGCCAAGAGGCAGUUCUCUGAGGCGAUGCAGCAGUCUCAGACGUGCAUGUUUGCCCCCUUUGCUUCUUUUUGGUCACAAGAACACUACUUCAAGAAACCGUUUUUGAUCCUAAACUAUCACGUCGAGCUAGGACUGCAGGACACAGCCAGACACCGUGAAACAGGACCGCACUCCAGCCCUGCAAAGACAACGUGGCCCGGGGUUAGGCACCCAGCAGGAGGAUCCAGCUUGACAUUUGAAAGCACAUGCCCCGAGAUCCACAUGCCAUGAACUCUGCAGAGCAAGGGCAGGAAACAGAUUUAGAGAGGCCACGAUGAACCAACCUACUUUCUCUGCACUAACAGGUAUACCACCCAUAUAAUUUUCUUCUUUGCCUACAUGUAACAAGAACAUCCAUUCAAGUCAAGCACAUUUCUAAUGAUCAAAAUCAUACAUAGCACCAUAUGUAGGAAAAAAUCUAAGACUUAGCUUGCCAGCUACGGCACCAUGCAAAGUAAAAAGAAAAUAAUAGUUUAAACUAUUAGUCAAACCAAUUAUUUCAGCCUUCAGUUGUCAGGCAGCAGGUUUAAAUGCAUACUUAUGUGACUGUAUUACCCAGCUGUCAUAUGCCUCUUGUCUCCCUUCUUGGUAGAGUAACAUUAAUGUAUCAUCCUUGUAUUUCAUUUCAAUAUUUAUUUUUCCAGCCUUUAAAAUAUUAUCUUUAAAUUAAAAACUUCCAUGUUUCAUUGCAUGUAAGAAAUCAAGUGUGUAUCAAGAAAAAAAUGUUUCUGAUUUAGUUGAGUUUCUGAACAUAAGUUCUAAGAUACUUGAAGAACAUCUGACAUAAAAUAUCUCCAAUAUUUCGCACAAGAGGGCACUAUUACAGCCCCACAGAGACUAGUCCUGAACAUGCUGCCAGAUCUGAGUUUAUUCUCUCACCGUGAUGCAACACAGAUGCUGAACACAGAUCACCCCACGCAAAGCACAACUCCGCUUUUCUUUUCAACUUGGAUCGAUCACACUUCUGUCUGCAGCAGUAAGUGCAGGAGUCUUGCAGGGCUCAGCAGCCAUGGCUCUGUAAACACCAGCGCCUCUGCAAGGACUUCCAGGCUCUGAAAAGCACCUGUUCCCACAAGCCCUGACGCUAGGACCACCUGUAAGGACUGCAGCUUACCAGCAGUGGCAGCUUUUACAUACACAGUCCCAAGCUGGAACAUCUGCUUACCAAUCUCCUGCUGACUUCAGUAAGAGCAGGAUCAGGCUAUAGCUCUUACGCACUAUCAAGGAUUAUUCUAACAUCUCUAACCUGUCAACCAAUACCACUUGUACCAGCUCAGUGCCUCUUAUUUAAGGGUGUUCUUCAAACACUCUUGUGCUUUUUAACACAAUAUACGGCAAAGGGACCGGCCAGCCAGAAACAAUUUAUUGUCUGAUCAGCACUUCUCUUUAUCACAGUCGGAUCAUGUAAUAAGUCAACAAACCUAAAUGAUACAUACUACAGUUUAAAACUGCUGCUGACACAGGCAGCAGCCAUCUUACCUAGAUGUUUGUAAUGGUGGUUAUGAGCCUGCAGCAAGAUCUUCACUCGAUCCAGUGGUGCAGUGGUUGUUUUGGCACAGCAUCCUGCAACACCUCCGGCGAUGAAGGAGCGCAGCCAGUAGAAGUCGCGGCGCGCCGGGCCCGGGGGUAGCGCGGCGCCGGGCCCCGCCGCCGCCGGGGAGGCCAUGGGGCAGCGGCGGUUCCCUCAGGCGGCGAGCGGGCAGCGCAUGGCGCCGCGCGGGGCCGCCGCCGCGGAGCGAGGGCGGAGCUGGGGCCGGCCGGCACCCUCUCUGCGGCCGCGCCGCGCCGAGCCACGGCCGGGCCGCGCUGCGGCGCCUGCCGAUCGCGUCAGAGGCUGCGGGGCGGCCCGCGGGAACUGCGCCUCGGCUCGGCCGGACCGUGAGGCUCGGGCACGUGGCAGACAUUCGUUCGGAGCGUACGUGACCGCCUCGCCUCGCGGCGCUGAGCUUUCCCUAGGACCUCGUACCCUACGCGAAUGAAAACGUUCGGUGUCCGCGCUCAAGUUUCAGAACGCAUCAGAAAGGGAAGUGGGCGCUGCAACAACGAAAGUUAGCUGUUUCACAAUCACAGUGAUAAACACCAGUAUCAUCUCUGCAGGUGUCAGCGUUAUUCUUGGCGAUUUUUCUGUCUGCCCACGGUGCCUUUGCUGAAUACAGCACGUAGGGCUUACCAGGAGCCAUUCGCUUCAGUUUAUUUUUCAAAGCUGAUGACGAAAGUUUGUCCGCAGGUGAGGACAGCAUACCUACACAGCACUGGUCAGAAAGCCAACGCUGGCAGCUGCCAGUGCAUCUUCUGCAACCAUUGUACUGAUCAUGCUUUUUGCCCCAUACUCAUCAAGCUGAGUUUCAAGAGUUCAACAUGUCAAAAUCCCUUUUUUAAAGGUCAGUAUUUCAAUACGAAGAAAACAGUCAACACUCACACAAGAAACUGAUUUCCAAACAAAUCUGCUGGAACAUUUUUCUUUCUUCUUGUGUCAAAUUGCAAUCAACAAAAAUUAGUAUUUUUUUCCUUUAACAGGUUACAUUCCUUAAAAUUUAAGUUUGUUGCAGCAUUUGGAAAACUUUACUUUGCUCUGUUUGAUCAUUACUUAUUUGGGGAGUGGUUGCUACAAUGCACAUUUUUUCCCAGUCAUAAAAAGUACUUAGCAAGGGUGUGCAAGGACUUCUCUUACUGGGAAAAUCUGAAACAUGUCCUUUACAGAUGCAAACUCAGCCUUCUUACAUUUGUAAUACACCAGGGAAACCUCAUAAUUUUUCCUGAAGUUACCGUGUUUAUUCUCUAAUGUGAAAGCAACUAUCCUAUGGGUUAAGUAACCAGGUUUAUAGCCAUUGUUGGUACAGUUUUGCUCCAGCCAACCAGUAUUCCUUUGGGAUUCUGCUCAGGAGAAGGUCUCACUGGGGCACAAUCAUACUGCUUUGACAGCUUCAACAGUAAGCUUCAUUUCUGCUAUCUACAGUUUUCUCCCAGAAGAGUUGCAACAGCACUAACAUCUGAAAGCUCCCUAGGGUUUCACAAGAGAAUAGAAAGGUCUGGUAACUGCAUAAAUGGCUGCUCCUUACUUUCAGUAGUGCUGCGGUAUUUUGGGAGGAUACUUUAUCAGACCUUGUGAUUUACAGAAGUGUGCACCACACACUUUUUAGGAAAGAAGUAAGAAGCUUGUAUUGUGAAAUUACACAGAACAUCUCAGAGAUGCACUAACAGGAAGGAAUUCAGCUGUGAACUUUGUGUUUUUAAAAAUAUUUCAGUGUUUGUCUAUUUUAAGUGCUCUGGAAUUCUGUUUUCUUGACCAUCUACAGCAGUAUUCUGCUAUGUACAUUCUCACUACUAUCGCUUCAUCUUUUUACCUUGAAGCACUUACGUGCUUUAUAAAACUUUUCUAGUGACUUGCUUUUAUGACCUAUUCUUAAAAGUUAUCAGCAUAUUUAAUGUCACUC